AUGGGGGAACCCUGAUGCAGCGACGCAGCGUGCGGGAUGACGGCCUUCGGGUUGUAAACCGCUUUCAGCAGGGAAGAAGCGAAAGUGACGGUACCUGCAGAAGAAGUACCGGCUAACUACGUGCCAGCAGCCGCGGUAAUACGUAGGGUACGAGCGUUGUCCGGAAUUAUUGGGCGUAAAGAGCUCGUAGGUGGUUGGUCACGUCUGCUGUGGAAACGCAACGCUUAACGUUGCGCGUGCAGUGGGUACGGGCUGACUAGAGUGCAGUAGGGGAGUCUGGAAUUCCUGGUGUAGCGGUGAAAUGCGCAGAUAUCAGGAGGAACACCGGUGGCGAAGGCGGGACUCUGGGCUGUAACUGACACUGAGGAGCGAAAGCAUGGGGAGCGAACAGGAUUAGAUACCCUGGUAGUCCAUGCCGUAAACGUUGGGCACUAGGUGUGGGGGACAUUCCACGUUCUCCGCGCCGUAGCUAACGCAUUAAGUGCCCCGCCUGGGGAGUACGGUCGCAAGGCUAAAACUCAAAGGAAUUGACGGGGGCCCGCACAAGCGGCGGAGCAUGCGGAUUAAUUCGAUGCAACGCGAAGAACCUUACCAAGGCUUGACAUACACUGGACCGUUCUGGAAACAGUUCUUCUCUUUGGAGCUGGUGUACAGGUGGUGCAUGGUUGUCGUCAGCUCGUGUCGUGAGAUGUUGGGUUAAGUCCCGCAACGAGCGCAACCCUCGUUCUAUGUUGCCAGCACGUGAUGGUGGGAACUCAUAGGAGACUGCCGGGGUCACUCGGAGGAAGGUGGGGAUGACG
rnacentral:rRNA from 1 species